UACGUAGGUGGCAAGCGUUGUCCGGAAUUAUUGGGCGUAAAGCGCGCGCAGGCGGUCCUUUAAGUCUGAUGUGAAAGCCCACGGCUCAACCGUGGAGGGUCAUUGGAAACUGGGGGACUUGAGUACAGAAGAGAAGAGUGGAAUUCCACGUGUAGCGGUGAAAUGCGUAGAGAUGUGGAGGAACACCGGUGGCGAAGGCGACUCUGUGGUCUGUAACUGACGCUGAGGCGCGAAAGCGUGGGGAGCAAACAGG
rnacentral:rRNA from 1 species